AGAUUGUUUCAAGUAGUCGUUGCGUGCGGAUGCAAAUCCCCAAUGUUAAAGUCACAUGUGUUUGAGAUUUGUACGUUUCAUUUAUUUGUAAAAUAUGACCGAAGGGCCAAUUGUCAAUAGAUUAGAGGGACACCAUUGUUACUCCUAGGUACCACCAUUAAUCACUGAAGAUACUCCCACUGAUUAUGAAGAACUUCCGGUGAUUGUUUUUGAAAAUGAGGCGCCAUAAAAAAAAGAUUUGAAACAAAUACAAAACACAUGUGCGAAACGAAAGAAAUGCUAAAGGAAACGAGUGAAAAAAUCUCCAACAUGGAAACGUCAUCAAAUCUGACAACUGAAAAAAAAAAACAAAAAUAGAAGUUAUGCCGCCAAGACCACACCUAAACAAAUUUUGACGAAUUACAAGAUUAUCUUUGCCUAUUAGAAUAAGCAGAUUUCUUUGUAAGUUAAAAAAAUACAAUGAAUUCAUAUAUACAUAUAACAUAAUGGUUCCGGCUCGAGGGACCAAUGUUCCGGCUUGAAGUGCCAAUGUUUCGUACAAUCCGAAUCGUAGUACCAACGUUUUUUGUAAUCCGGUUGAUACGACCAUGUAUGAUCUUCCGAAUUGUACCUUGAUAUUGCUCGAAGGACCUUUGUUUGAUGUUUAAUAUAGGACGGUUACAGAAGUACUAAAAUUACAGUGCUAUUUACAAAAUCAGGUAAAGAUACCCAAAAGGGUCAGUGGCCGCUUCCGGAAAUGCAACACAUAAUAUUGGAUAUUAUAUACAGGUAAAUGCCUGUAAUACUACGAUAUUUUUGAUAACUUACUAUACAUGCACAUUUCGCUUCAUUGUAAAAAGUAUUGACAACGAGAUUUUCCUGAUAGGCUAUACGUUUUUGUCAAUGCAACCAUUUUACGAUUAUCCGUUAGAUUCAAGUAAAUUUAGCAUUUUUAAAAUGCAGAAUUUGUCUUCUGCUUUAAGCUGUACUCCCUUAAAUUUAAUAAUUUGGCUAUUAUUGCCCAUAGACGAAAAAAUAUUUGCAUUUCCAUUAAUCCAUGCACUCUAAUGGGUUUUUCUUUUCAGUGCAAUAAAUUAAGGCAAACUUAAAAAAGUUAGGUUAUUAAUAUGAUUGUUAAAACAGAAUUAAUUCUUAACGGUACUUUUUUGUGUGUUGGGGACAGUCAAGUCGUCGUGAAUUAGAAAGUUUUACAGUGUAUUUUCAAAGCAAGUAACUUCAACAAUGCGAUUCAACUGUCUUUUCCCUUUAUUCUAGUUUUUUUUUUAUAUAUUUUUUGUAAAUAGAUUUGUUUGUGUUUUUAAGACUGAUUUAUAGUUUAUUAUAGUUUUCUUUUAAUAUUCUUUGUAACUAAAUAGAUUUCUUUGUGUUUUUAAAACUGAUUUUUCUUUAAAUAGCAUAUUUUAUUGCAACGUUUAUUUUUGAUUAUAUCUAAUAUAUAAAAAUGGAUGUUGGUAUAUAUAUAUAUCUGUGAUCGAUAGACUCCGAAAUCGUUUGACCGAUCUCCAUGAAAUUUGGCACAUGUAAGUGGUUUUUCAUGGAGAAGGUUUUUGUGGUAUCCGCUUUGCUGUAACUAGCCACUAGAUGGCGCUACAGCACAUCAACUUCUACACCGUUCAACCGAUUCUGAUAAAAAUUGGUACACGUUGGCAUUUGACUAUGGAGAAUAUUUUCGCCCUAUCCAUUUUGCUGUAACUCGCCACUAGAUGGCGCUGCAACACAUCAACUUCUGUACCAAUCAACCGAUCCUCAUGAAAAUUGAUAUACGUUGGUAUUUGACCAUGGAGAAUAUUUUCGCGUUAUCGAUUUUGCUGUAACUUGCCACUAGAUGGCACUGCAGCACAUCAGCCUCUCUGUUAAAGUAUUAUGAACUUAGAGAAUCAGCGGCACCCAUAUAUCGAAUACUACUAUAUUGCUAUCAGGCCUCAAAAGAGUCCGAAAACACAACAGCAAAGCAAUAUAUCGGACCUCUUUGUCUCUCUAUAGUACCAAACAGUACUGCUCAUAUACUCGUACUUGCUUGAUUUUUAGUCGAUAACGUGACUAGAUGUGUUUUGAGAGUUUUGACAUUUCAUACGUUCGCUUCUAUUUUGUGUACGUGCGCACAGACCCUCGGUACUUUUCUAGACAGAAAACAAUAUCUUCCGUCUCCCUUUGUCCGUGAACACCGUUUCUAUGUUACUUCUGAAGAGUUAGCAAGUAUUAGAUAUAUGGUGGCACCAAUGACAGCAUUGUUUUCGUUGGUAUUACAACAAAAAUCGUAUUGACCGCAAAAUAAAAUCAUUAGUGAUGUUCACUGUCUACAAUCCUCAGUAAUAACAAAGAGUGAAUUACUAGAGAUUAUUGAAAAUGUCAUCCAAAAAAUCAAACUGAUUCCGCGCAUUCCAAUGGUUCCUACUGAUUUGCCCUUUACAUUCAAACGACUACAGUUUCCUGUGCGUCUUGCUUUCGCGAUGGCAAUCAACAAAGCCCAAGGGCAGUCUCUGCGCGUUGCCGGAUUAAAUUUAGGAAAUCCAUGUUUUUCGCAUGGUCAACUGUAUGUUGCUUGCUCCAGAGUAGGAAUUCCAAAAACUCUGUACGUCUAUACACCAAAUCGAAAAACCAAAAAUAUUGUUUACCCACUAGCGUUACGAUAGAUGUUAGUAUUGAUUAAAAUGUGUUCAAGUUGUUUCAGUUAUAGUGGACCAAAAGCUAUAAGGUUAUAUGGCCAUCAUAAAAUUAUCCCAUUGUGUCGAAGUUAAGUUGUUUACAAUAGAAAAGGUUUUAGGGUCGUAAAUAACGUGUCCAAUGGAGCUCGACCGGCUGUUGUGGUUUCGUUCAGGGACGGCUUUCACUAAAUAUGUAAAUCCACCACUCCAUUAUUUCUUUACUACCUGCAGCCGCUGAGGGUUCCGAAAUCACCACUCGCUUUGAAAGCCGGCCCUGUUAAAUAUGAGCAAGAAAUGUUGAGAAGACGAUUUAUUGCCAACCGGGUAAGCUUAGUGCGAACCACACAAAGGGGGUACUUAUUUGCGGUCAACUACUUUUAUAAUGGUCAUAUAACCUUAUACCUUUUGGACUAGCAUAUAUAGCGCAUACAAUAGUCAAAAAUUUUGUUCAUUCACGUGAAUUACUAAUACAAAAAUGUGUACAUUGUGUAUACUAAUGAAAAUAAAUGGAAUAGCAUCAAUAUGAGUUAUCUUAUUAUUCAGUUUUCUACAACGCAUUCUGCGCUCCAGACCAUACAUUUAUAUCCACAUGUAUACAAAGUAAAUAUAUACACAAGCAGGACAACGUCUGCCGGGUUCCGCUAGUAUUGUAUAUUAUCUUUUUUUUUGUUUAUAGUAAUUUGACUCGUAAUUUCCUGUAUGUAGAUUUGUUUGUGUUCUUAAAAGUAGUUUAUCAUUAAUUUGUUUAAUUGACAUAUAUUUUUUUAUUUGUUUAUUGAAGUUCAUUGUUGGUUGUACA